AUAAUUAGGGUGAUAUCGCGAAUCGAGAAAUGAUUCUGUAUCGAUUCUAAGAUUCUCUCUCGAAUCGAUUCUGAGCUUAGUUUUUAAACAGCAGAUGGAACAGUCAUAUUUUUAAACUCCAAUGUUGAUUCGAAUAGGAAACAACUCUUACUGCACACACCACAACAGACUUAAAAAUGGUGGUUGAAAUAAAAUGCUGCGUGGAGUCAACCAAUCAAAAUGCUGCAUAAACUCAACCAAUCAGCAUGUUCAGCGCCCAAGUCCCACCCCCGAAAGUUCCGUAACUUUGAAAAAGUACUACCUCGUGACUUUUUGAGGGUGAAAUUUUUACCUGGAACUUUAUUUAGACCCUGGUUCCUGCAGUCGAAACACACUGAGUACCACCCCAAAGUCCAAAGUGCCUGGGGAAAGUUCCUGCGGUGGAAACGCGGCUUAACAUGCAUACAAAAGCAUAACCAGACAAAAAAAAAAAAAACACUGAAGUGGUAAAGAUAGUAAGCCAACUCACAAACUAUGUCUAUGUGUGAGACAAAAUACACUGAGAAAUACUCAGACAGAGACACUACGGGUGUGUGUGUAAGACGUAGCGAUUUUGAACAAAAAGGUCAUUUGUUAAAAUUUGGACGAUCUGUGAGAGGCAGCUGGGGCGGCACGCAUGAGGAUGAGUCAUGACUGUGUCCGAGCAGCGCUCUCUCUCCAAGCUGCCACGCUUGAGUUUCUGCAUGUGCUGCCAUCAACGGUCUUCCUUCCCCUCACUUUACUGCAUGAACACACAUACACACACACACACACACACACACACACACACACACACACACACACACACACAAUGGCCUCGGCUCUCCUCCACUAAGGCAAGAAAUGAGACGGAGGAAGAGAGAGAAAUAAACAAGAUCUAUUAUCUCAUCAAGUUCAACCUAAUUUCAGACAAAGUGUAUCUAUACAUGUAUAUGUGUGUGUAUGUGGUCUGUAGCGCACUCACACACACUCUGUGUGGCACACUAAAGCACUCAGCACAUGCAGCAUAGACCCGAACCUCUGAUUGGCCUGGGAGUUUUUACAGUACCCAAUCAGUGAUCAUGUUCCCCCUAUGUGUGGUAAAAACAGCUAUCCAUUCAGUGCUUCCCACAGGUCUGAAAUAUACUUGCGGUGGUAGCCGGGUGAAAAAUCCUCCUAUUACCCACGGCAAAGAAAUGAUCUACUGCAUGUGACAAACAAAUAAUUUGUAAUUUUUAACAGUAUUUUUAUUUAUUGAAAUUAAUUUUAAUUACAUAGCAUACUGUUACAUUUAAUUACAUACUAAUAUGUAUUAUUAUGCAUUGUAAAUUAUGCAAAAUUACAGCAUUUAAAAGGUUCUCCUUUUCAUAUGUUCUCCUUGCUAUGUCAUAUAGUGUCUCUCUCAGUGAAUGGGACACAGAUUUUACUAGUAAAAUUUAUAUAAUGAAUAUGUAUCAAAUAAUGUUCUUAGUCUUUUCUUCCUGUGAGGGAGACUACAAUAAUUUACUAUGAAUUAAAUGGAAAUCAAAUUAAAUACAAUUUAUUGUGUAACCAAAAUACCAAUAAUGCCCAGAAGAAGAAAAAAAAACAUAGCUUGUGACUUAAUUAUAAACAAGCCCCAAAUAUACCGGACUCUUAUUUUGAAAUGUCUACACAAUUGCAGGCUGAUCAUUCAUAUUCUUACAAUCGUCUAAAACAUAUUAUAUAAAGGCCAUAAAGUUGACAUUGUCAUAAUUCUUCAAAUUGAGUUCAUUAGCAAUCGCUUGGCAUAAAUGUGCGCUAUUCAUUGAUUGAGAAUCAAUUUGAAGCAGUCUGAAGCGUUGCGCGAGCUUGUAGAACGCGCAACAGCGCCGCCUUGUGACUUUGCAACAUGCAGCGCUCUUUGUGAAAUACCCACCGCACCUUUGCAGUGCCCGUGGGAAUGUCAGCGGGAGUAAACAGUUCUGACGCACACGUAACGGGCAGGUACGAAACGCGUAGGGCGAGGGGAGAUUUUCCACUAGUUAAUCGAUCGCGGAUGGUUUCUUUAUCUCGGCAGAUGCAAAAGUAUACGAGGAAAAAAAUAAUAAAAGCAUAAAUGUGUCUCCAAAUAUACUUGGGCGGCCGUGAAUAUACCUGGGCGGCCCGCCCAAGUAAAGUCUGUGUGUUGGAAGCACUGCCAUUACAAUGAAAUCUACUCAAAUCUCUAGCAGGCACUUAGACUAACAGAGAAAGUAACUGUAUGGAUGCGAACCAAAAGAUUAGACUAUUCAUAACAAAUCAAUAUGUCUGGCAUCCAUAUCAAAACAGCUUCACGUUACAUAACACUUUAGUUAAAAACUAAAACACUGCAAUUAAUAUUAUAUAAGAUGCAUAUCUAUAUUCUCGGGCAUAAACAUUACAGCAACAUUUCUAGCAGUUAACACUGACACCAUUGCACAAUGCGCAUGUCAUAACACUAUCAGUCAUGUUUUGGCUCUCGAAUCAGGUAUAGCAGGACACUCUUUUUGCCUCAUUUGCCAACUUUAAAAGAUUAAUAUAGACAAAUUUGAUCAAUUUAUAUAUUGAUUCAACUAUAUCAGAGCACAGAUGCGUUCACUCUUUCUGUAGCAGCUUGCUAUGUGUGCUUUAGAAAAUCCAAAGGCUACAUUCUUAAUUCCACUUGGUGGAAACCUCAAAAGCAGGAGGUGUGUGGAAGAAACAUGCAGCCUCUCAUGCCAGUUUAAUUACGUGCUUCAGAUCAUGAGAGAUUAGAGCCAGAUUGAGGAACAACUUUUAGGAUGCAGCUUAAAGUGGGCCUUCCACGGCACACACAGAUACAUGUAUGGAGAAAGGGACGAACACAAAAAACAAACAAAAAAAAAUAAAAAAAGAGAGUGAAGAACAAAAGCACUGAUGUUCUUUGCACUACAUCACAAAAAGCCUGAACUACUGCACAGAUUAGUCAAUUUUGUUAUUUGGAUACAAGAUAGAUUUUUAAUUACUUAGCAUCCAAACAAUUCAUUAAGGAAUCCAAACUUUUUUUUUAAUGAAUAAUGAAAUGUGACACUUAAUGAGAACAUCUAUUUUAUACUUUCAUGUUGUUGCAUAAUUCAUACUUUGUGUGAAAGUUAUUUUAAGCUAAUCACAUUUUAGAAAAAACUGAAAAUAUAUUCAGCAUAUAAACUAAACUAGAAAGAUAUAUAUUGAAUGUAAAACAAAAAAUGCUGUUUAUGAAACUUAAAAAAAACCUUAUAGAAAAAUGCAUAGUCCAUGACCUUUCUAUAUAUACAUACAUACAUAUAUACAUAUAUAUAUUACAUAUAUAUAUAUACAUACAUACACACACACACACACACACACAAAAAGUACACAGCUAUUUUCAACAUUGAUAAUAGUAAGAAAUGUUUCUUGAGCAGCAAAUUGGAAUAUUAGAAUGAUUUCUGAAGGAUCAUGUGACACUGAAAACUGGAGUAAUGCUGCUAAAAAUUCAGCUUUGCCAUCACAGGAAUAAAUUACUUUGUAAAAUAUAUUCAAAUAGAAAACAGUUUUAAAUUGUAAUAAUAUUUCACACUACUACUGUUUUUACUGUAUUUUUAUUUAAAUAAAUGCAGCCUUGGUGAGCAGACGAAACUUCUUUUAAAAACAUAAAAAAAUCUUACAGAUUCCAAACUUUUGAACGGUAGUGUAUAUAUACACAUACACACACACACACACACACACAAAUAUAUAUAUAUAUUUAUAUACAUAUAUAUAAAAAUUCAUAAACAGCAUUUUUUUAAUAAUAUAUUCUAAGCUUUUAUGAUUAUUCACUGUAGAAAUUGUUCUUUGUAUGGACACUUUCUUUAAAGAAAUGUAAAAACACUAGUCCAGAAUCAGAAAUAGUCAUAGAAAUUUCUAUUGUGAAUGUUUCUUGUGAGAACUUGAAAUCUUGUGAAAAUUAGAAUGUAUAGCAGUCAUAUAAACUGCAACAUCAUUAUUUAUAUUUACUACAUAUUUUUGAUGACUCAUUUUAAAUGAAAAAAAGAAAGUUUCUAGCUUAUGAGAUAUUUCUAAGCUGAGCAAAACUAGAAAAACUUAAAUUCUUUGACUUUGAGCAUGGAAACAUGUCAUCUAAAAGCAUAUGAAAGUAUGAUUCCAUCUACUGUCCAUGAAAAUUGACAGACGCUCUGACACACACGUCAACACACUUCAAACUUUGAGUGGAUCACAGCCCACUAUUUUCCUCAAGAACUUCCAUUUCCCAUAACAGGCAAGGCUCUGUUUCACUGUGGGUGAUGGAGGUCAUUAGGACACCAUCUUUUUUUUAUAUUUCCUGCUUCCUGUCUCUUUUGUAAUUCUCAGCAGUAGGUUCCUGUGUCCAGUCUCUCUGUAAAGUGCAUGUUAAAGUUAGGCUCUUAAAAAAGCUCCUCUCAUUAGGCCUGACUGCACAGCCAACCUAAUUCACACAACAUUAAUGGAAACAGCACCCGCACAGCGUCAAGCACCCUGAGGAGAAGGCACAGUGAGUGGAACAUCCGGAACAUUCUGUUACAGAAGACGCUGCUGGCUGCUCCCGUGGAAAAUGAAGAAAAGGCAAGAAGAGAUUUAAAAGAGGAUGGCUGAAGACAGGAACACUGUGUCUAAUAACUUCAAGUGAAGUCGUAAUAAAGGCCUGACAGUAGUAGGCAGCUGUCUGUAUGCGUCUACAGAGGGGAUUUUGACUGCAGGGAUUUUCUGCACCGAAGUGAUUCGCACUCAGAAUGGCACACAUUUUUUGAUCAUUGCUGCUAUUUGUCUAUUUGGAAUGCCCAUUUCCGAAGAUAUGACCAGAAAUAUUGUGUUAUUGGUUGCUGGGUUUUGAAUAUCAGACAUACUUGGGGGUGGGCUCCCAUCGGGGGUUGACCUUUGAACAGUAAUUAACUACCCAGAGUAUACCAUUCCAUCCAAUGACCUAGCAACUACUCAGAACACUUUAACAACCAUUAGCAUUGUGUUGCAAAUUUUGUAACCAAGCACUAAACAGGCACAGUGUUAUAUAUUUUGUUCAAUUGUGUACUACUUUAUUCUAAAUGUUUCCAAGAAUUUGUAAAUUCAGAGAAAUUCACAAUUUUAAAUAGUGCCCGUUCCUUAUCGCCUAUCUGCGUUAUCCCUGGUUUCCGCUUGUACUGCAUAGUAACAAUGGCAACAGACGUCAACAGCUGUGUAAUGUCUAGCUGUUUCAUUCAAACAUUAUGGACCAUGGCAAACUUUGGGACAAAAGGAGAAAUAAAACGAGGAUCAAUA